AGCGAACGCUGGCGGCAGGCUUAACACAUGCAAGUCGAGCGGGCACUUUCGGGUGUCCGCGGCGGACGGGUGAGUAACGCGUGGGAACGUGCCCUCUGGUUCGGAAUAACUCAGGGAAACUUGAGCUAAUACCGGAUACGCCCUUUUGGGGAAAGGCUUGCUGCCGGAGGAUCGGCCCGCGUCUGAUUAGCUAGUUGGUGAGGUAACGGCUCACCAAGGCGACGAUAAGUAGCUGGUCUGAGAGGAUGAUCAGCCACACUGGGACUGAGACACGGCCCAGACUCCUACGGGAGGCAGCAGUGGGGAAUAUUGGACAAUGGGCGCAAGCCUGAUCCAGCCAUGCCGCGUGAGUGAUGAAGGCCUUAGGGUUGUAAAGCUCUUUUAUCCGGGACGAUAAUGACGGUACCGGAGGAAUAAGCCCCGGCUAACUUCGUG
rnacentral:rRNA from 1 species